rnacentral:rRNA from 1 species
UCUUACAACCAAAUCGUACUGAAUGUGUUCGAUCUCAUGAGAUCCUGGAAGCUAAGCACGGUUGGGCCCGGUUAGAACUUGGAUGGGAUCCUUCCUGGGAAUACCAGGUAUCGUAAGCU